UCAGGCCUAACACAUGCAAGUCGAGCGCGCCCUUCGGGGUGAGCGGCGGACGGGUUAGUAACGCGUGGGAAUAUACCCUUUGGUACGGAAUAGCCUCUGGAAACGGAGAGUAAUACCGUAUGAGCCCUUCGGGGGAAAGAUUUAUCGCCAAAGGAUUAGCCCGCGUUAGAUUAGGUAGUUGGUGGGGUAAUGGCCUACCAAGCCUACGAUCUAUAGCUGGUUUUAGAGGAUGAUCAGCAACACUGGGACUGAGACACGGCCCAGACUCCUACGGGAGGCAGCAGUGGGGAAUCUUGGACAAUGGGGGCAACCCUGAUCCAGCCAUGCCGCGUGAGUGAUGAAGGCCUUAGGGUCGUAAAGCUCUUUCGCCUGUGAAGAUAAUGACGGUAGCAGGUAAAGAAACCCCGGCUAACUCCGUGCCAGCAGCCGCGGUAAUACGGAGGGGGUUAGCGUUGUUCGGAAUUACUGGGCGUAAAGCGCACGUAGGCGGAUCGGAAAGUUGGGGGUGAAAUCCCGGGGCUCAACCCCGGAACUGCCUCCAAAACUAUCGGUCUAGAGUUCGAGAGAGGUGAGUGGAAUUCCGAGUGUAGAGGUGAAAUUCGUAGAUAUUCGGAGGAACACCAGUGGCGAAGGCGGCUCACUGGCUCGAUACUGACGCUGAGGUGCGAAAGUGUGGGGAGCAAACAGGAUUAGAUACCCU
rnacentral:rRNA from 1 species